CCCCUUGUGUUUUCCCCACUUAAAGGUUUUUGUACAUCUGCAAACCUUGAAGCUCCUCUGAGCCUGCCGGUUUUGGAAUCAUAAGGAUUGGCAAUUGGAGAAUGAUUUUGUUGUUAGUGUAUAUGGUCGUUUAUUCUGUUUGCAAUCUGGAUGGUGUUCACUUCAUAUAAAUUCUGAGUGUGUUACUUAUACUUUGGAAUUUGUUCUGCUUUUAAUAUGCUAUUUUGCAGAGUGCUCACUUUGUGUUAGAUGUUUAUGUUCAGUUCAUUUUCCCUUCCUCUGGUUUGUUUUGCAAUCUGAUGAUCAGUGUGCAUGAGUUUCAUUUGCAAUGUGCACAAGUUUGAUGAGGUGCACAUCAAUCUGUUUUAUUUGGGUUCUCAAAUGUGCUUGAAAGGAGACAGUUUUGUUGGUGGCGGUGUCAUAGUCGGAAUUACUUAUUUGCAGGAGUCUCUUAACAAUGUACAGCAGAACAUCCACUUAAUUAAAAACAAAAGCAAAAGAAACACCUUCCAUGAUUGCGAAUGGACUUUAUAAUCUUCAAUAGAUCUGGGAGAAAUGAAGAACUAAUAAUUUACUGGACUAGCAACAUACAAGGACUAGAUCAUACUGUAGCUGACCAGCUAAAUUUUAGGAUUGCCUUGUAAAUUCAACUGGUAGAGUCUUACCAGAACAUAGCAAGCAAGAACUGUGGGGGUGUUUUUGAGGCACCAACUGCUACUACCAUGUCUGGUUCCAUAUUUAAUUUCAGGGCUGCCCUUUUUCCAGACAUCAAUUAGACAAUCUCUCCUGUAUACCCAAUAAGGAUAUUGAAUGGGAGGGGAGCACACAAUAAGCACCACCACAUUAAGCAGUCACAGGUGUUAAUUACAAGUCCAGGGCACAGGAGCCUGACCAAGGAGGCUAUUUCAAUUUAUGCACGGAGGCCUCAGCCUGUAGCAUUGUUGGCCAGCUGAUCAAACCAGAAGAUCCUUGAUAUGUCUCCCAGUGAAAAAGAAAAGUAGAGGUUGGCAUCUCUUACGCAACACAGAAGCAGAAGGCAAGACUAUCCAAGAAACCCAAGGAAAGCUACAAUGAUCAGGAACAGAUUACACACUGCAGUUUGCCAGCAUAGAGAGGACCUGACAUGCCACACUAGCACCUAGGUCCGCAUGUUUGCUGGUAAGAAGGUAAGAGAAUAUUGUUAUGAGUUUGGGAGGGUGGGGGAAGUAGGCUCUAUGCGAGAUCCUUCAACCCCCUGGAUCUAGGCUAGCUUUCUGUGUUGAGGUGCUCGCCUAGGUGGUGGACCGUUAAGAGGUGUGCAAGAUGACAAAUAGAUGGAGCCCCUCUCUCAGCUUGCUGUUAGUUAGAAGGACAAAGCCAGAGUUUAGAGUUAAAAGUGGGAGUGAUAUGACCUAGAAGUGAAGCAGCAAGCUGCAGAGAGAGGGAGAGCAAUGUUUCAAUCCAAAGCUGUGGCUAUGGGAGAAACAUAGACCCUGUUUGGCUGUUAAUGCUGUGAGCCCCUCCAUCAUAGGCUCAGGCUACAUGUAUGUGUUAAUAAACCAUAUAUCAUAAAGACACCACAGUCUCUGUUGUGCCAGUGCCUGGAAUCUUGCAAUGCUCAGAGAUUGGGGGUGGCGUGCAGCAAAAUUCUGGCUCUAUAGCCUAUACUAUAGCAGACAAAAGGUUAUAGGGAUGUACAAGAAGCUUGCAAAAGAAACAGGG